rnacentral:rRNA from 1 species
UACGGAGGGGGCUAGCGUUGUUCGGAAUUACUGGGCGUAAAGCGCGCGUAGGCGGACCUGCAAGUCGGGGGUGAAAGCCCGAGGCUCAACCUCGGAACUGCCUUCGAUACUGCGGGUCUCGAGUCCGGGAGAGGGAUGCAGAAUUCCAGGUGUAGCGGUGAAAUGCGUAGAUAUCUGGAGGAAUACCGGUGGCGAAGGCGGCAUCCUGGACCGACAUUGACGCUGAGGAGCGAAAGCUAGGGGAGCAAACGGG